rnacentral:rRNA from 1 species
CCUACGGGUUGCAGCAGUGGGGAAUUUUCCGCAAUGGGCGAAAGCCUGACGGAGCAAUGCCGCGUGGAGGUAGAAGGCCCACGGGUCGUGAACUUCUUUUCCCGGAGAAGAAGCAAUGACGGUAUCUGGGGAAGAAGCAUCGGCUAACUCUGUGCCAGCAGCAGCGGUAAUACAGAGGAUGCAAGCGUUAUCCGGAAUGAUUGGGCGUAAAGCGUCUGUAGGUGGCUUUUUAAGUCCGCCGUCAAUCCCAGGGCUCAAACCUGGACAGGCGGUGGACACUACCAAGCUGGAGUACGGUAGGGGCAAAGGGACUUUCCGGUGGAGCGGUGAAAUGCGUAGAGAUCGGAAAGAACACCAACGGCUAAAGCACUCUGCUGGGCCGACACUGACACUGAGAGACGAAAGCUAGGGGAGCGAAUGGGAUUAGAUACCCGUGUAGUC